rnacentral:rRNA from 1 species
CAUGGUUAUAACGGGUAACGGAGAAUUAGGGUUCGAUUCCGGAGAGGGAGCCUGAGAAACGGCUACCACAUCCAAGGAAGGCAGCAGGCGCGCAAAUUACCCAAUCCUGACUCAGGGAGGUAGUGACAAGAAAUAACAAGUCGGAGCCUUUUCAGGUUCUGUCAUUGGAAUGAGUACAAUUUAAACGCCUUAACGAGGAUCAAUUGGAGGGCAAGUCUGGUGCCAGCAGCCGCGGUAAUUCCAGCUCCAAUAGCGUAUAUUAAAGUUGUUGCAGUUAAAAAGCUCGUAGUUGGAUUUCGGAUUGUGACCACGGGUCGGCUCGCAAGAGUGUGCACGUGUGGUUGUGGUCUUUCUUUACGGAGGGUGGUGUCAGCGAUUAAGUUCGGUGGUGCCGGAUGCGCUCCGUUCGUUUACUUUGAACAAAUUAGAGUGUUUAAAGCAGGCCUUUGCCUUGAAUACAUUAGCAUGGAAUAAUGAAAUAGGACUUGCGUUUCUAUUUCGUUGGUUUCUAGGACGCGAGUAAUGAUUAAUAGGGAUAGUUGGGGGCAUUCAUAUUUAAUUGUCAGAGGUGAAAUUCUUAGAUUUAUGAAAGAUGAACUACUGCGAAAGCAUUUGCCAAGGAUGUUUUCAUUAAUCAAGAACGAAAGUUAGGGAAUCGAAGACGAUCAGAUACCGUCGUAGUCUUAACCAUAAACUAUGCCGACUAGGGAUUGGCGGAUGUUUCCUUUACGACUCCUUCAGCACCUUUAGCGAAAGCAAAGUUUUUGGGUUCCGGGGGGAGUAUGGUCGCAAGGCUGAAACUUAAAGGAAUUGACGGAAGGGCACCACCAGGAGUGGAGCCUGCGGCUUA